GAUGAACGCUAGCGGCAGGCCUAAUACAUGCAAGUCGUACGGCAACACAGUUGCGAGCAAUCGCAACCGGUGGCGAGUGGCGCACGGGUGAGUAACGCGUAUGUAACCUACCCUUCUCCGGGACAUAACUCCGCGAAAGCGGUGCUAAUAUCCCAUACCAACUCAUCAAGACAUCUUCUUGAGUUGAAAGCAGCAAUGCGGUGAAGGAUGGGCAUGCGUCCCAUUAGCUGGUUGGUGAGGUAAUGGCCCACCAAGGCUACGAUGGGUAGGGGUUCUGAGAGGAAGCCCCCCAACUGGUACUGAGACACGGACCAGACUCCUACGGGAGGCAGCAGUAAGGAUAUUGGGCAAUGGUCGAAAGACUGACCCAGCCAUGCCGCGUGCAGGAUGAAGGCCCUAUGGGUUGUAAACUGCUUUUAGCCGGGAAUAAACACCCGUUUUAUACGGGCCCGAAGGUACCGGCUGAUAAGCAUCGGCUAACUCCGUGCCAGCA
rnacentral:rRNA from 1 species